CACGCAGCUUUUCCAGGGGAAUGACUGCUUCCCCCUCCUAAAAAAAUGGUGGGGGUGGUAACCCAGAGCUUGCUUGGGGUGUGGAUAUCUGUUAAAGGCAUUCCUAUAAAUCAGAUCUGUCUCUUAUGGAAAUGUGCCAACCACAAAACUCCUGAGUAUGCUGCAAUGAGCCUCAGUCUCUUCUGCAGCAGCCCCACACAC